CUGGCGGCCUCGGCGGCGAGUUGCAUGCCGGGAUACUGGCGGAGCAGUGGAGUGGGGCGGGAGCGGAUGGUGAGAGGAGGAGGCGGCGUCGGCGGCGGUGAAAUGGCGGAGGUUCACAACCAGGAGGAGGAAAAGGAGGACUGGAGCAAGAACGAGCGGCUCACGGCCACCUUGGAGGACGAUAUGGAAGCUGAAAAUUCAUCAGAAAAAACUGUAAAUGAGGAGAAUGGAGAAGUGUCAGAAGAAAAUCAAGAACCAGAUACAGCUCCAGACAAACCCAUUAAGCACAAGAAAAAGAAACAUAAGCAUCGGAGUAAACACAAGAAGCAUAAGCAUUGUUCUGAAGAAGACAAGGAUCGAAAGCAUAAACAUAAACACAAGCAUAAAAAACAUAAAAGGAAAGUGAUUGAGGACCCUGAGAAGGAGGAUGGCCUCUUAAUAAAAAGACCUAAAUUUGAUGAUUAUGCUCUCCUAGAGGAUUUGGAGAAACAGAGGGCUAUGAUAAAAGCUGAAUUGGACAGUGAACUGAUGGAGGGGAAAGUUCAAUCAGGCAUGGGUUUAAUUCUACAGGGUUAUGUAUCGGACUCUGAGGAAGAGGGGGAAAUCCAUGAGAAGACACAUAAUGGUGAGAGAGUUACAUCCAGCCGUGAUGUUUCUGAAAUGUUACCCGUUAGGGACAACAAAAGCAAACGAGAAACUGCAGAGUCAAAGUCUAUUUCAAAGAGACGUAGUAAAAGCAGGUCAAAAGACAGGACUAAACAUAGUAAAUCAGAGAAAAAGAAAAGUAAGAUAAGUGCAGAGCAUAGAAAAGAAAAGGAAAAAACGAGGAGUAUGUCGCGUGAGAGAAAACGGUCAAAAAGCCCAGUCAAAAGAAGCAAGUCCAAAGAAAGAUCAAAGAGGUCGCAGUCUCCAACCUCAACUAAAACGCGAUCACUGGAAAAGAAUAGAAAAUCAAAAACUCCUACAGAAGAUAGGAGCAAGUCAAAAGAUCGAAAGGCUGUAGCAAAUGAAAACAAAGCAAGAGAACGAAAUAGGAAAUCCAAAUCUCCAACCUCAAAAAGAAGUAAGUCAGGAGAGAGAAAUCAGAGAUCUAAAUCCAGAGAUCGGGAGAAGAGGUCAAAGAAAUCUGAAGUUGAAAAAGAGAAAAAAUCUGUUAAAUCUCCAUCUAAAGAUGCCUCUUCUGGGAAAGAGAACCGAUCACCAUUGAGGAAGCCUGCACUUAGCCCUAAAAGAGUAAGCCCUCCUAAAUACCGAGAAAAGUUGUCCAAACGCAGUCGCUCACCUCCAGUAAAUGAUCGUGCAACCAAAUCAAUUCAGUCUCCCUCACGGAAUAAGUCCCCACCGAGAAGAGCUAAAAGUAGAUCUGUGGAAAGGAGGAGGAGGGAUAUAGAACGUUCAAGAGCUCCAUCACCAAGAACACGGUCUAGAGAUGAGGCACUGGGUAGGCAAGAACGACCCAGAGAUUUAAGUACAUCGCGGUGGUCUCCUUCAAGGAGAAGACUCAGCAGAUCUCCGAUCAGAAGGAGAUCUCGUUCUCUUCUCAGACGAAGUCGCUCUCCAAGGAGGAGAAGCCGAUCCAGAAGGAGAGAUUGGAAUCAGAGAAGCAGAUCUCGAAGAAGGCGAUCUAGGUCAAGAGGUCGCCGUGGACGUAUGAGUGGUAACAGAGAUAAAGAAGACAAAUUUAAGGGAAGUCUUUCUGAAGGAAUGAAAGUUGAACAAGAAUCCUCUGAUGAAAACAUGGAGGACUUUGAUGUGGAAGAGGAAGAUGAAGAAGCUGUUAUCAAACAAAGGCGUGAACAGAGAUUAGCAAUUGUUCAGAAAUAUAGAAACCCAAAUGAAGACAGCAACAUGUCUGGAUUCUCUGAACCCAACAGUCCUCAGAGCAGCACUCGUAGCCGUUCCCCUUCACCUGAUGAUAUUUUUGAACGAGCUGCAGCUGAUGUCAAGGAGUAUGAAAGGGAAAAUAUUGACACGUUUGAGGCUUCUGUAAAUGCCAAACGCAACCUCAUGGCAGUUGAGCAAAAAGAAGGAGCUGCGAAGAAGCCAACAGUUCCAGACAUGUUUACGGAAUCUGAUGAUAUGUUUGCUGCAUAUUUUGAUAGUGCUCACCUGAGAGCUGCUGGUUUUGGAAAAGAUUUCAAAGAAAAUCCCAAUCUCAGGGAUAACUGGACGGAUGCAGAAGGCUACUAUCGGGUGAAUAUUGGUGAAGUCCUUGAAAAACGCUACAGUGUUUAUGGUUACACUGGUCAAGGAGUCUUCAGUAAUGUGGUGCGAGCAAGAGACAUGGCAUGGGCCAGCCGCGAAGUGGCAGUCAAAAUCAUCAGGAACAAUGAGCUCAUGCAGAAGACUGGCCUGAAAGAGUUGGAGUUCCUGAAAAAACUAAAUGAUGCAGAUCCCGAUGACAAGUUCCAUUGCCUGAGACUCUUCAGACAUUUUUACCACAAACAACAUCUCUGUUUAGUCUUUGAACCUCUGAGUAUGAACUUGCGUGAAGUGUUGAAAAAAUAUGGAAAAGAUGUGGGUCUUCAUAUAAAAGCUGUGAGAUCAUACAGUCAACAGCUGUUCCUGGCUCUGAAAUUGCUGAAGAGAUGUAACAUCCUGCACGCUGACAUCAAACCCGACAAUAUUCUGGUAAAUGAAUCCAAAACUAUCCUAAAGCUUUGUGACUUUGGCUCAGCUUCCCACGUUGCUGAUAAUGAUAUAACACCAUACCUUGUCAGCAGGUUCUACCGAGCCCCAGAAAUCAUUAUUGGCAAGGUAUAUGAUUAUGCCAUUGACUUGUGGUCUGUUGGCUGCACACUGUAUGAACUUUACACAGGAAAAAUCUUAUUUCCUGGCAAAACUAACAAUCAUAUGCUGAAACUCAUGAUGGAGCUAAAGGGCAAAAUGCCAAACAAGAUGAUCAGAAAGGGUGUAUUCAAGGACCAGCACUUCGAUCAGAAUCUGAAUUUCAUGUAUAUUGAAGUGGAUAAAGUAACAGAAAGGGAGAAGGUCACUGUUAUGAGCACUAUUAAUUCUACCAAGGACCUGUUAGCUGACAUGAUUGGUUGUCAGCGUUUGCCAGAAGACCAGCGUAAAAAAGUCCACCAGCUUAAAGACUUGCUCGAGCAGAUUCUCAUGUUAGAUCCAGCCAAACGAGUCAGCAUCAACCAGGCACUGCAGCAUCCAUUCAUUCAGGAGAAGAUUUAAUCGGAGGAUUUAACGGGUUUGAGCAAUUAAACAAAGACUGGAAAAGUCAGAGAAAAAAAGUAUUUUAGUAUAUGUCAAACACGAUGUUGUUUACCGUGAAAUACGCAUGGUUAAGUUAAAAAUGUUAUUUCGAGUAGGAAUAUGAGUCACUGUAAAUAUAUUGAUUUGUGUUUUUUCCAGACGUUUUUCUUCAUACUUUCACUGUAGUUUUUGUUGAGUUGUUUUAACUGCUAAGACUGCACACAAACAGUUUAAAGUUAUUUUUAAGUCCUUGUAAAACACUGGUGUUUCUUUAGGAGGAAAAUUCUGGCGCUCAAUCUCCAAAACACACCUUUGUUUUUGUGCAGACUUGGCCCAUCCUUGUCUCUGUAACAAUGGCCGAGGUAAAAUGAUGUUUAUAUUCACAUUUUCCUAGGUGUGUGUGCAGGCCAGCAUGCCCUUGGUGUACUCAGUGCCGAAGGGGUCUGUCCCUACCUGUGCCUGCUUACAGGGAUGGUCACAUCAUUAAAAGCAGGUUGUGUACCACUUUCAGUACACUGAAGGCAUACAUAACCUUCCACUCUUGAGCAAAGCAGCUGCUUUUUAAAGCGGUAAUUGCUUCUUUACCUUUUUUCUUUUAUGUUUUUUUGUUUAAGAUGAGUUGUGAUGACUUGUUGUAGUUCUGUACUUAGCCCCUUCACUGGCAAACAUUAAGCAUUAAGUUGUAAUUCUGUUUGCACCAAUGAACGUAUUUUUUGUUCAGUCUGUUUUUGCACCUAAUGUGGCAUUCCAUGAAUGAACCGGGCAUAAAAUGUGUUUCAUAUUCGUUCAUUAAUUACUGAUGUAAGUAACAUUCAAUGACGAUCCAAUCCGAGGCCUGCAUAAUUGCAGCCGGUCAGUGAAGGGGUUAAAAUAAUCGUACAAUGCCUUUGCUUAUACAAAGGUAGGUUGGGGCAUUUGUCACACAACACACACACAGACACGCACUCUUCCUGCAUGUAAAGAUAACCAUGCAGAAUACUGGAGAGAAUUUCGAUAUGCAUUCAGAUAUGUUGGUGAAUAAAGCAUUUGUUUUGAACAAACCGAUUGUAGCUGUUUUCACAGUGGUCCGACAUGCAGUCAGGUCUCUAUGCAACGCUAAAACUACAAUGGUGACUUGCUGAUCUGAUCUGUUUUUUUAUGCUGGCAAUCCCAGUGGUCUUGGAUGUAUGAAACCUUUAAUGACUCAUUUUCUACAUGUGAUGACAUUUUUAUCCAAUUCACAGUACCCAAUAAAAUCUAGGAUUAUCGAGUCACAAAUCAGUACACUGAACAUAAAGUGCUUUUAGUUGCUUUAAACCUUUCACUUACUACUUCAAAAAAUAAAAAACUGAUAAAGAUGAUUUAUGCAAAAAGGAGAACAGUUUUUGAAUGUUUGUUUUCAGCAACAAUUUGGUUAGCAUCGUUUUAGAAAUCACUAAAAGUGCCUUAAAGGUGGCAUUAGAAGGCAAUAUCUCAGAAUAAUGUCAGUUAAAGGCUGCCACAAUUCACAAACCUAUUUGGAAGUCUGAUCCACUCAUUCAUACUACAAAAUGACUAAUGUUUUCUACUGUUUUCUUACUUCCCUUCGAUGAUGCUGAGAGAGAAAGGAAAGCACGUUAUGUUACUAUGCUUGGAAGCAACAGGCCACGUCGCCUAUUCCUGGGGGCCUGCUUUGAAUGAGACAGCUUCACCUUCUCCACAAGGUGCACCCUGAUGGGAGGCGAUGCACAUUGCAAGAAAACGAAGACUGAAUUAAGGUUUCUGUUCCAUAAAGACAAUAACAUUUACAGUGACUUUAAUAAAUAGCAGGAGACUCGCUGUUAAUUUGUAAUUUUCAAUUGAAAAGGGUGUUAUCAAAGAUCUAUAAUGCUAAAUUUCAGUUCCAGGAAUCCAUAUUUUAGUUUUAUCAUUAAGUAAAAGGAUUGAUCAUUUUCUCACAUGGAAUAAUUUUACAUUUUGAAUGGAUGUACAAAUCUUGCAUUAUAAUUUUGGACUUUGCAUUUAAAGAAACAAGACCAACCUAUAGUUGUUGUGAAAAUAAAUGGCUGUAGUGGACUUAGAUCCUUACCAAAGUAAUCUUUGAUUUCAGAAACCAAGUUAAAAAUUCCAUUUAUUAAAUAUUACUUUUUUUAGUGAAAAAUAAGUUCUUUGCACCUAGUUUAGUAACAUUUAAAGAUCAGCUUGAACCUAUUUUGAACUAUUAAAUUGGUGGCAAAUUUAAGAAUUGGUAAUCUUGACUUUUUUAUAUCGUUUUAUUAUGUAGUAAAACAUUAUUUUGAUGAUUUAUUUAAUGGAUGUUGUGUCUUCCAUUAUUGUUCCGUUUCAGAAUAUGUUGAUUCAACAACCAUUCAUUAUGGCAGGCAAACUUGAAGCUCGUCCCAAUUCUCUUUCGUUCCCAUGCGAUCCAGUUACAUAGAUUAUAUCAUAACAUUUGAGUCACAUUUGGUGCACUUAUAAUAUACCUUUAUGCAGGGAGUCUAGUCAAACAGAUCCCAGACCGUUAUGUUGUAAAAUUUAAAGUGUUCUUUGUGUUUGUGCUCUUAACCUGUGUGUUUUAUUCUGUAGGUAAGGGCCAGGAUGUAAAAUGCCUACAUCUUCGAAUGACCUUCAUUAACUUAGCUUCAACAUAAGUCGCUGAGAGCAAACAGUUCUUCAGUACUGAAUUAAAGUGAAGACAAUGGCUUUGCAGAAUAAUAGAUCAUUUUUGGACACUUGUAAACUUGGAGUUUAAUUCUGUUGCUUCUGAUCCUUGACCAUUUUUAGCUUUUAAAGGUAGAUGUAUUGUACACAAAAAUGAAACUUUUGCUAAUCUUGAGUACUGAUUAUUCUAGAACACUUCAUACUGAAUAAAACAUUUUAACUAUG